rnacentral:rRNA from 1 species
GACGAACGCUGGCGGCGUGCUUAACACAUGCAAGUCGAACGGAAAGGCCCUGCUUUUGUGGGGUGCUCGAGUGGCGAACGGGUGAGUAACACGUGAGUAACCUGCCCUUGACUUUGGGAUAACUUCAGGAAACUGGGGCUAAUACCGGAUAGGAGCUCCUGCUGCAUGGUGGGGGUUGGAAAGUUUCGGCGGUUGGGGAUGGACUCGCGGCUUAUCAGCUUGUUGGUUGGGUAGUGGCUUACCAAGGCUUUGACGGGUAGCCGGCCUGAGAGGGUGACCGGCCACAUUGGGACUGAGAUACGGCCCAGACUCCUACGGGAGGCAGCAGUGGGGAAUAUUGCACAAUGGGCGGAAGCCUGAUGCAGCAACGCCGCGUGCGGGAUGACGGCCUUCGGGUUGUAAACCGCUUUCGCCUGUGACGAAGCGUGAGUGACGGUAAUGGGUAAAGAAGCAACGGCUAACUACGUG